rnacentral:tRNA from 1 species
UCCCUGGUGGUCAAGUGGCUAAGACCGAGCUCCCAAUGCAGGUGGCCCCGGGUUCAAUCCCUGGUCAGGGAA